GAUGAACGCUAGCGGGAGGCUUAAUACAUGCAAGUCGAGGGGUAACAUUAAUGUUUACAUUAGAUGACGACCGGCGCACGGGUGAGUAACGCGUACAUAUCUACCUUCAAGACAGGGAUAGGCUUUGGAAACGAAGAUUAAUACCUGAUAGUAUCGCAAGAUUAAAGAUUCGUCGCUUGAAGAUGGGUGUGCGUCCCAUUAGCUAGUUGGUAAGGUAACGGCUUACCAAGGCUACGAUGGGUAGGGGGCGUGAGAGCGUGACCCCCCACACGGGUACUGAGACACGGACCCGACUCCUACGGGAGGCAGCAGUAAGGAAUAUUGGACAAUGGGCGGAAGCCUGAUCCAGCCAUCCCGCGUGGAGGAUGACGGCCCUAUGGGUUGUAAACUCCUUUUAGACAGGAAGAAUAGCUAAUAUUUAUAUUGGUAUGACGGUACUGUCAGAAUAAGCACCGGCUAACUCCG
rnacentral:rRNA from 1 species